GACGAACGCUGGCGGCGUGCCUAAUACAUGCAAGUCGAACGAGAGCGACCGGUGCUUGCACUGGUCAAUCUAGUGGCGAACGGGUGAGUAACACGUGAGUAACCUGCCCAUCAGAGGGGGAUAACAUCCGGAAACGGAUGCUAAAACCGCAUAGGUCUUCGAACCGCAUGGUUUGAUGAGGAAAAGAGGCGCAAGCUUCUGCUGAUGGAUGGACCCGCGGUGCAUUAGCUAGUUGGUGAGGUAACGGCUCACCAAGGCCGUGAUGCAUAGCCGAUCUGAGAGGGUGAUCGGCCACAUUGGGACUGAGACACGGCCCAAACUCCUACGGGAGGCAGCAGUAGGGAAUCUUCCGCAAUGGACGCAAGUCUGACGGAGCAACGCCGCGUGAGUGAAGAAGGUUUUCGGAUCGUAAAACUCUGUUGUUAGAGAAGAACAAGUGCUAGAGUAACUGUUAGCGCCUUGACGGUAUCUAACCAGAAAGCCACGGCUAACUACGUG
rnacentral:rRNA from 1 species